rnacentral:rRNA from 1 species
UACAGAGGGUGCGAGCGUUAAUCGGAAUUACUGGGCGUAAAGCGCACGUAGGCGGCUUUGUAAGUUAGAGGUGAAAGCCCGGAGCUCAACUCCGGAAUUGCCUUUAAGACUGCAUCGCUAGAAUUGUGGAGAGGUGAGUGGAAUUCCGAGUGUAGAGGUGAAAUUCGUAGAUAUUCGGAAGAACACCAGUGGCGAAGGCGACUCACUGGACACAUAUUGACGCUGAGGUGCGAAAGCGUGGGGAGCAAACAGG